rnacentral:lncRNA from 1 species
UUUGGAAGUGCCGUAGUCCUUGAUCUCCUUGCGGCGCAUGAGCAUGGGGAUGUUGUUGGAGACGGAGACGACGGUGGCGAUGGGGAGGGCGGUGUAGGGGACGCCGCAGACGAGGUCGAAGGAGGUGGAGGGAGGGAGGGAGGAGAUAAGGGUAUGGGAGAUUUGGGAGAGGAGGGAGGGGUAGGAGACGAUGAGACGGAGGUCGAUGUAGACGGGGGAGUAGAUUCCGGAUUUGAGUUUGAAGUUGCCGAAUUUGACGGCGCCGAUCUCGUGGAGCUCCAGGAUUAGGGAUUCCAUCGCUGACAACAUUGUGAGGGGACUUGGCAGUGACUGAGUGCACAGUGGAGAGUGUGUGUGCGCUUUUUAUACUUUAGGUUUUGUUUUUUUUUGUUUUAUGGGAUUUUUGAUCAAUAAUCACAAAUUCUUUUUAACAUAAUUUAAAAUCAUUAAAAAAAUCAAAUUUUAGCAAAGAUGAAAUUCAUACAAUUAAUUAAAAAUUAUAUAAAUUUGGAAAAACAAUUUUUUUUUAUGUUUAAAACUAUAAAAACAUAAAUCUUGUUAUUAUGUUGUUGAGUUUAAACUUUUUAAGCAUGGAUUUAUGACAUAUCUGGUUCACAUUUAUAUUUGAUUUUACAUGUUAUUAUAGAAUAACUUAUUUUGCAACUUACUUUUAAUUCAUACUCUGAAUUAGAAACUAGUUUUUUUUAGAUUUUAAUGAAUUAACAUUUUUUUUAAGGCAUAAGAAAAUUCAAAUAUCUAUUAGAAUUCUUCUAUGUUGGAAACAAAACUGAAGAAUACAUUAAAAUUUGUAUAAAACAAGUAGGUCUGCUUCGACUAUGCACAGAGCUUCCCACCUUUUGUAUUCUUUGACUAACAGAUGUUUUUUUUUGGUGUUCGGAUUCCUUAUCUGCAGGAGAACACGAUGGGUUGAAGAAGAAACAGGUUGUGAAAGAUCACAUACAGUAAGAGCCUCUUGGGUCUUUUGUCACACGCAUAACUGAAGAAAAGAUAUUCUUGCAGUGUGAGACAUUUUUACUUCUCCUGAAAAUAGACUGAUUGUUACGAGUCUAGUAGUUAUGUUUGUCCUUGGUGAUAUGCUUACAAAUAUAAUAAGAGAUCAAAUCUGGUUUUGAAAAGAAAAUUGUAAGAGCAAACUACAUGAGUUUUCCAAAAUGUUUUCUCAUGGAAAUACGUGUAAUAAGAAAGGGUAUUCAACAAUUAAAAAAAACAAAAAGAAAACAUUUAAUUACAUGAAAGGAGUAAACAGGAGAUUGUUUCUAGCAAUGCAGAGAGAUGUUGCCUACGCUGCAGAUUUCCUCAGGCUGCUCUCUAACACCGCAAACCUAAACUGAUAGUUGACAAAAGCAACACAUGAACAUUAGUUACCAAUGAAUCUGCAUACAAGCCCCUAUAUGAACGAAUAUGAAAUGGCAUGGGACGCAAUAUUAUAUACCCUUUCUAUACUUCACAACUUUCUUUUGUUUCCUUGGGAUGCUUCAUUAACCCUCUCACCAACAGUGCUACUGGAUCCUGAGUUGGAUGCAUACCCUAAAGCAGUUGAACCUGCAGGUACAUCUUCCUCUUUUGCUUUCUGCUUAUUCAUGUGACUCUCUCUUGUGCUAGGAAAACUCCCUUUUACUUCAGUUCCCAUCUUCGAAGAAGAUGGUGAUUCUAGUCCUUCCGUAUGCUUUGCCGCAGACAUAUCAAAAGGCCUAUGAAAGAGCAAAUGAGCCACAGUUCUGUCUGUGGGAUUGGUCACAGUUUCGGUGUCUAGCAUCCCUGCAUAUCUGAAAGAACAAAAACCAAGAGCUAGCUAUGUAAACCACAUACUGUAUUGGUUUUGAUGAUGAAGUUUUAUUUAAAAUGCAAUCACGUAACAAAGAACUGCGACAGCACAUGAAAAGAGUGUUAAUGCAUAUGCUUGCAGCAUUCAGAUGGUCUUUACUGCGUAAAUUGAUUCAUUCAGAACAAUGGACAUAUGCUAAUCAUGGAUAAAUAGUUUUUCCUAUCUCACACUUAUCAUACAUAAAAGGCUACCCCACAUUCACAAAACUGUAUGUGUGUAGUUCACAUGAUCUAACUAAGAACCAUAUAUAUAUAUACCAUAUUGAUUAAUAUGCAUAGAUUUGCUUACCUAUAUCUGGAUUUUUCUUGAGGAAUAACCUCCUGGUCAUCCUGGCUAGUCUUAUUACUGUGGGGUGUAUCACUAGUGUGAUGUCUCUGACCUGCGCUAUCAGCCAAACGGAAUAAGCUAUCCCUUAUACAAGUCCUUGUUUCCAUAUCUAACUGCAGGUCAAUAAGUAGUAUUAGUUCCUUCCAACGUAAAGGCCAAUACAAAGUACUGUAGGAUUAUGGCUUCAUCUUUUUAUAACAUAACAAACCAGUUGAGUACCUUUGCUACAACAUCUUGAAGCCGAUAAAGAACCGAGAAUUCUGAUGGAUUAUCAACAGCAGCAGCAAAGUUUCCAGAAUCAUCUAGUUCCAGAGAUGAAUUGGGAUCAAAGGAAGGUAUUGCAGUUAGCCCUUGAAGACUAGUUUUGUCGACAAGCUGAGUAAUGGACUGAUCUGCUACAGGAACCUGGUGACGAAAUUGCUGUUGUUGUCUCUGAAUAGCAAGCAUCGCCUGCAUUUGCUGUCUGCGCCUAAGUUUUUCUAGUUUUUCCUGCGGCGUCAUUGUUGAAGGUCGUGCACAGACAUCUGUUACCGUGUUUGCAGAGAUAGCAGAAGCAGGGUUGUAGGAAGGAUGCAUCAGCUGAUUCUUGUUAACAUCAGGACAUUGGAAGGCUGAAACUACAUGCACAGCAGAAUAUGGAUUACCAAAACCAGAAGUAGCCAUGUAUUGGUUUGGCAUAUGUGGAUAAUGUGAUGUCCCAGACCCUUGAGACUCACUCCGCAGAUUGACACCCAUCAAAGUUGAUCGUGACGGUGCCAACUGGUUUACAAAUUUUCUCCUUGACCUCUGACCGUAUGGAUCUUGAAACGAUCCUGCCUCACAAGUCCCCAACAUUUCCGAAAGCUUCAUCAUUUUGUGUUGUUGAUAUGGCUGAACAGAAAGGAAAAUGAAAAGAGGUAAGACUUAAUGGAACUGUAAAAAUCACUAUGCAUAAAUAAGAAUCUAAGGGCAUCCGCAUUUGUGAGUUUCUCACCAAUUAUAUUAAUAUUUAAUUGGGGAGCCUCGUUGAAAAGCUGAGAGACUCAUGUGAAAGUCUCUCAUUACUAUGCAAUGAAUCUCUCAGUUUUUUCUACGAUACUCUCUAAUUAAAUAUUAAUAUAAUUAGUGAGAGACUCACUAAUACAGAUGGCCUUAAAAACAAACCGCAUUGAUGGAAACUAUGCAACAAUACUUUCUUUGAUUCAAUUUAUUAUAAACGUGUGGGCAAUAUCUCGAAGUCUGCAGUGCAUAGUACCUGGUCAUCAACUGAGGAUUGACUCUUAUGCUCAUGAUAUUCCUCAGCUUUUGGGGUUACACGAACUCUAGGCGCACUUUGGGAUGAUGGACCACCAUUGGUUUCUCCAGUCAAUGGAAACUGCUGGUUCUCUUGUUGCUCAAACUGAGUUCUAAUGUCCAAUCCUAGAUCUUGAGAGUCCAAAAUGGAUGGUAACGGCUUGGAUACAUCUUUAGAAGAAGACCAUAAUUCAUCUGCACCGCUGAGACUGCCAUCGCCAAAUAUAGGGACAUCACUACUGCAAAAUCACCACUUGUGAGGAUAUUGUGUUAGACAGAGAACCCAUUAGUAGGCAAUCCAGAGGUUGGUUACGCUGCAUAGCUCAAGCAGGAUGAGAAAAAGACAUACCUGAACAUUCGAUCAAGAUCAUCAAAGCUACCAAUGUUAGCCCAUCCAUACUCAUCAAAAUCACCAUGCUCUUUACUCUCAUCAGUGCUAUGAAAAAUAUCAGGGCCUUUCCCAAGUUCAGACGUUUUCUCUGGUAAAAAACAAGGCGACCACACACACAACUUUAAACAUGAUUAGAAUUUUCAAGAAACGUACCCAAGUAAAACAGCACUGUUUCAAGAAACGCACCACUUCUUGUUGAAUCAUAUCUAGCUGGCUCACUCGAACCUGGUCCUGGAUCAGCUUUUCUAGCAUUAGAUACUGAUGAGUCAGGCCAUGAGCUCAUACACUCAAUAUUUUGCCCUGAACUGCUCCCCCCCAGCUUACUAUCAUGAAGGUGAGUUGUCUUCUGCUCAGCUGGCUUAACUGCCUUAUUAGAUUCAUCGCCCUGUUCCUUCCUGUUUCUUACUUUAAAAGGCACAAUAUGGUCGCCUGUCUCUCCGUCGUCACCCCAUAUCAUAUUAGUAAGCUGAAAAAAACAGGUUAAACAACAAGGGAUCAGAGACAAGCAAGUAAUGACAUCUACAUGAAUGUAGAACAUGACGUAAGAACUCGAGACCAAGCUCAGAUAACUUGUAAAAAUUCAGAUCCUCCUUAUUCAAAGCCUAAACCUUGCUCUUGUCUGUGAAAUGGGGAUAUAAGGCUACAUAGCCAUGAAAGGUUUCAUCUACAUGCGACCAAAACUAAAACAGAGAGGAGAAGCGUGAAAAUAGAAUUUACCUCUUCGUCGUCCCAAUCAAACAUGACUAGAGAAACAGAGUCCAAUCACAGACCCCAAAUCACUCUCCUCUCUGAUUCCUCCACACAUCGCCCACUCCACCACGAUAAGAAAAAAAAAAUACCCACAAAAGAAAAAGUCGCUUAACGUAAUUCUCAAGAGUUAAAAACCGAUAAAAAAAUUAAUUAAAAUAAAAAAUUAAACCGAAAAAGAGUAAGCCUGCAAAAACCUGGAUUCAGAAUCCUUCAUGCUGUUGCUUCAUCUGGAUAAUGGGAAAAAAAAAAGGAGAGUUACUACAGAACAUGUUUGGGAAAGUGGGGCCCAUUUAGGAAGUGUCACGUGCCGAACGAGUGGCUGAGAGAGUAUGGACGGAGUUAGGAUGCCACGUCACACGAGAGUGCGUAUCUAAACAUGUGGCUGAGAGUGUGUGUCAAUAACUACGACAUUUCCACUACCCAGCUCACCACCUCUCAUUUUGACUUUCACUUGCUGAGAGCUGUUUUAUUUUCCCCGCUUUCAAAAAUAAUAAUAAUUAGAGAUACACACAAACUUAUACUAUUAUCUACUCUUAUAUUUUUCUUUAGUUUUUUAAACAAUAUAUUUUUCGUUAGUUAGUAAAUAAAAUAGUUUCGGAACUUUUAUUUGAAAGGCUGGAACCAGGGAGAUUUGGUGGGGUAGGAGUUAAUAGAGACCACUAGUAGGGGGAGGGGAGAGACUCACAGAGUGUGGAGUGUUAUACUGUUGGCCAAGCGCAUCACCACCUUUCACCAUCUGAACACCAGGCGUUGCAUGAAUCAUAGACGGAUUCACAUACCCGCAUUUCCAAGACGCUGGAUUAACGGAGAUGAAUCCCAUCACGAAAUCUGAAUGAGCCUCUGCGAUCUUCACGGCUGCUGCAGUGUAGUCUCCUGUAGCAAGGUUACCAGCAGAGCUCAUCUCAGCUAGCAAAAGCAGACCCUUACCACGAGGCAAACCCUGAAACCACAGGAUGACCUCAAAAUGUAAGUAAAAACGAAAGGAUCAAUGAGAAUCCGGUAACAAAUGAUUACAAAUAUACCUUCAACUUCAGGCCAUCAACGAUUCCUGGUCCUGAUACUAUGUGAGCGUUAAUGAUAUCAGCCCACUCUAAUAUUUUAAAGACGCCUCUGCAAACAAACCGCGGCAGAAAAAACUUUAUGAAAGUUUUUAUAACAGAUAUCAAUGGAGAACAAUGAGUGAACACAACGUAGAAAACUGACCCUUCAUACUGCAUUGUUACGGUGUUACCAAUGUCUGCAAACUUACGAUCCUCAAAUAUGAGAAACUUGUGCUUGUCUGCGAUCUGAAGUAACAUCAACAAUCGAUCAACAACAGCCAAAUCAUAGCUAGUUGGAUGAUCUAGGGGAACUUAAAGAACUUCAGUAUUACUAUAGCAUACGACUUAUGUUUCUAUCGUAGAGAGAUUACAUCGGACUACUGUUUUAAGUAGUACUAUCCCUCAUAUAACUUCACUAUAGCAUAUGACUCAUGCUUCUAUCGUAGAUAGAUACAACAUGAACAUACUUUGUGCAAACAAACCUAUCAAAUAAUCAAGAUGCAACUAAACUUACCGCACGGAGUUUAGAGCCAAAGUCAGAGGUGAAAUCAGGCAAAAUGUCAACAUGAGUCUUCAACAUACAUAUCUCUGGUCCCACCUUCAUCAACACAAACAUUUCAAAGAUCAUUAACACAUAAACCAUAUGAUGCACAUUCAGAUAAAAAGAGUCAAAAGAAGAGAGAUUCUUUACCUUGUCUGCAAUGUCAAGCAACUCAGCAGCAGUUCCAACAUCAGCAGCUAAGCAGAGAUUAGUCUCUUUCUUCACCAUAACCUCAAACAGCUUCUUCCCCAUGGGAUUCCUACAAAGCUCCGACCUUUCCUUAAACCCUAAAACCCUAUCCUCACCCUUCACCUUCUCCACACUCGGCACACUAACCCUACGAUUCUCUUCCAAAAACCUAAUCAAACUCGCCUCAACCCCCUCUUGAAUCUUCCCCUUCUCCCUCAAAACCCUAACCAUAUCCGUCAACCUAAUCAUCGAAUGAAGCCUAAUCCCAUUCUCCUCCAGAUUCUCCCUCCCGCCCUGCUGCCUAUCGAUCAACACCACCGCGUCGCUAACCCUAAGCCCAACCCCGCGAAGAGGCGCCGCCGUCUCCAGCACGGACCCCCCGCUCGUCACCAAAUCCUCGAUAAUGAGGCAAGUCUGAUCCUUCUCGAAGACUCCUUCGAUGGCUUUGGAAGUGCCGUAGUCUUUGAUCUCCUUGCGGCGCAUGAGCAUGGGGAUGUUGUUGGAGACGGAGACGACGGUGGCGAUGGGGAGGGCGGUGUAGGGGACGCCGCAGACGACGUCGAAGGAGGUGGUGGGAGGGAGGGAGGAGAUUAGGGUUUGGGAGAUUUGGGUGAGGAGGGAAGGGUAGGAGACGAUGAGACGGAGGUCGAUGUAGACGGGGGAGUAGAUUCCGGAUUUGAGUUUGAAGUUGCCGAAUUUGACGGCGCCGAUCUCGUGGAGCUGCAGGAUUAGGGAUUC